UACGUAGGGGGCAAGCGUUAUCCGGAUUUACUGGGUGUAAAGGGAGCGUAGACGGCGAUGCAAGUCUGAAGUGAAAGGCGGGGGCCCAACCCCCGGACUGCUUUGGAGACUGUAUGGCUGGAGUGCAGGAGAGGUAAGUGGAAUUCCUAGUGUAGCGGUGAAAUGCGUAGAUAUUAGGAGGAACACCAGUGGCGAAGGCGGCUUACUGGACUGUAACUGACGUUGAGGCUCGAAAGCGUGGGGAGCAAACAGG
rnacentral:rRNA from 1 species